rnacentral:rRNA from 1 species
GUCUACGGCCAUACCACCCUGAACACGCCCGAUCUCGUCUGAUCUCGGAAGAAAAAUAAGUUCUUGCAAAGUUACUGUUACAAGUAGUCAAGUUGGCUGGAGCAU